rnacentral:rRNA from 1 species
UGAAUACGAGACGCUAAGGCGUCGAAGUAGUGUAUGUCAUACUUCCAAGAAAAGCUUGCACUGUCAUAGAUAAAAAACGCCUGUACCAUAACCGACACAGGUGGGUAGGUAGAGUAUACUAAGGGGCGCGAGAUAACUCUCUCUAAGGAACUCGGCAAAAUAACUCCGUAACUUCGGGAGAAGGAGUGCCUUAUUCGUAAGGUUGCAAUAACAAGAUCCAAGCAACUGUUUAUCAAAAACACAGGUCUCCGCUAAGUCGUAAGACGAUGUAUGGGGGCUGACGCCUGCCCAGUGCCAGAAGGUUAAAGAAGUUGGUUAGCAAUUGCGAAGCUGAUAACUGAAGCCCUGGUGAACGGCGGCCGUAACAAUAACGGUCCUAAGGUAGCGAAAUUCCUUGUCGGGUAAGUUCCGACCCGCACGAAAGGCGUAAUGAUUUGGAUACUGUCUCGGAGAGGGGCUCGGUGAAAUAGACUUGUCUGUGAAGAUGCGGACUACCUGCACCAGGACAGAAAGACCCUAUGAAGCCUUACUGUAACUUGAAAUUGAAAUUGGACUUUAUUCGCGCAGUAUAGGUGGGAGGCGUUGAUUAUAAUCUUGUGGGAUUAUUGGAGCCAUCAGUGAGAUACCACUCUUGUAAUGUUAGAUUUCUAACUUUGAAUCAUUAUCUGGUCAAAGAACAGUUUCAGGCGGGCAGUUUGACUGGGGCGGUCGCCUCCUAAACGGUAACGGAGGCGUACAAAGGUUUCCUCUGAACGGUUAGAAAUCGUAUCUAGAGUGUAAAGGCAUAAGGAAGCUUGACUGUGAGACCUACAAGUCGAGCAGGGACGAAAGUCGGUCUUAGUGAUCUGACGGUACUGAGUGGAAAGGCCGUCACUCAACGGAUAAAAGUUACUCUAGGAUAACAGGCUGAUCUCCCCCAAGAGUUCACAUCGACGGGGAGGUUUGGCACCUCGAUGUCGGCUCAUCGCAUCCUGGGGCGGUAGUACGUCCCAAGGGUUGGGCUGUUCGCCCAUGAAAGCGGUACGCGAGCUGGGUUCAGAACGUCGUGAGACAGUUCGGUCCAUAUCCGGUGUAGGCGUUAGAAUAUUGAGAGGAGCCUUCUUUAGUACGAGAGGACCGAGAAGGACAUACCUCUGGUGUACCAGUUAUCGUGCCAACGGUAAACGCUGGGUAGCUAUGUAUGGAGUGGAUAACCGCUGAAAGCAUCUAAGUGGGAAGCCCACCUCAAGAUAAGUAUUCUCACC